rnacentral:rRNA from 1 species
AUUGAACGCUGGCGGCAGGCCUAACACAUGCAAGUCGAACGGUAACAGGAAGAAGCUUGCUUCUUUGCUGACGAGUGGCGGACGGGUGAGUAAUGUCUGGGAAACUGCCUGAUGGAGGGGGAUAACCACUGGAAACGGUAGCUAAUACCGCAUAACGUCGCAAGACCAAAGAGGGGGACCUUCGGGCCUCUUGCCAUCGGAUGUGCCCAGAUGGGAUUAGCUAGUAGGUGGGGUAACUGCUCACCUAGGCGACGAUCCCUAGCUGGUCUGAGAGGAUGACCAGCCACACUGGAACUGAGACACGGUCCAGACUCCUACGGGAGGCAGCAGUGGGGAAUAUUGCACAAUGGGCGCAAGCCUGAUGCAGCCAUGCCGCGUGUAUGAAGAAGGCCUUCGGGUUGUAAAGUACUUUCAGCGGGGAGGAAGGGAGUAAAGUUAAUACCUUUGCUCAUUGACGUUACCCGCAGAAGAAGCACCGGCUAACUCCGUG